CUACGGGAGGCUGCAGUCGGGAAUUUUGGGCAAUGGGGGCAACCCUGACCCAGCAACGCCGCGUGAGCGAUGAAGGCCUUCGGGUCGUAAAGCUCUGUCGGGAGGGAAGAAGGUCCUCGGGGUGAACAAUCCCGGGGGCUUGACGGUACCUCCAAAGGAAGCGCCGGCUAACUCCGUGCCAGCAGCCGCGGUAAUACGGACGGAGCCAGCGUUGUUCGGAAUCACUGGGCGUGAAGGGUGUGUAGGCGGUGAAAGCCCGGGGCCUAACCCCGGAACUGCACUCGAAACUGCCUCGCUCGAGUCCCGGAGAGGAUGGUGGAAUUCCCGGUGUAGUGGUGAAAUACGUAGAUAUCGGGAGGAACACCAGCGGCGAAGGCGGCCAUCUGGACGGUGACUGACGCUGAGACGCGAAAGCGUGGGGAGCAAACAGGAUUAGAUACCCCUGUAGUC
rnacentral:rRNA from 1 species